GACGAACGCUGGCGGCGUGCUUAACACAUGCAAGUCGAACGCUGAAGCUUGGUGCUUGCACUGGGUGGAUGAGUGGCGAACGGGUGAGUAAUACGUGAGUAACCUGCCCUUGACUCUGGGAUAAGCCUGGGAAACUGGGUCUAAUACUGGAUAUGACAUGCCACUGCAUGGUGGUGUGUGGAAAGGGUUUUACUGGUUUUGGAUGGGCUCACGGCCUAUCAGCUUGUUGGUGGGGUAAUGGCCUACCAAGGCGACGACGGGUAGCCGGCCUGAGAGGGUGACCGGCCACACUGGGGCUGAGACACGGCCCAGACUCCUACGGGAGGCAGCAGUGGGGAAUAUUGCACAAUGGGCGGAAGCCUGAUGCAGCGACGCCGCGUGAGGGAUGACGGCCUUCGGGUUGUAAACCUCUUUCAGCACGGAAGAAGCGAGAGUGACGGUACGUGCAGAAGAAGCGCCGGCUAACUACGUG
rnacentral:rRNA from 1 species